CCAGACUCCUACGGGAGGCAGCAGUGAGGAAUAUUGGUCAAUGGGCGCGAGCCUGAACCAGCCAAGUCGCGUGAGGGAGGACGGCCCUACGGGUUGUAAACCUCUUUUGCCGGGGAGCAACGGGCGUCACGUGUGGCGCCACUGAGAGUACCCGGAGAAAAAGCAUCGGCUAACUCCGUGCCAGCAGCCGCGGUAAUACGGAGGAUGCGAGCGUUAUCCGGAUUUAUUGGGUUUAAAGGGUGCGCAGGCGGCGUGUCAAGUCAGCGGUAAAAUGUCGGGGCUAAACCCCGGCCGGCCGUUGAAACUGGGGAUCUAGAGUGUGCGAGAGGUAUGCUGAAUGCGUGGUGUAGCGGUGAAAUGCAUAGAUAUCACGCAGAACCCCGAUUGCGAAGGCAGCAUACCGGUGCACAACUGACGCUCAGGCUCGAAAGCGUGGGUAUCGAACAGAAUUAGAUACCCUGGUAC
rnacentral:rRNA from 1 species